rnacentral:lncRNA from 1 species
GGGGAAUCAGCACACAGCAACCCCUUGGGGGAAUCAGCACUUAGCAACCCCCUUCACAUUUCAGAUGCGGUGGAAUCAGCACUUAGCAACCACCAAAUGAGUCGGGGAGUCAGCACUUAGCAACCCCUCGGGGGAAUCAGCACUUAGCAACCCCCUUUCACAUUUAAAAUACGGUGGGAUCAGCACUUAGCAACCACCAAUAGGUAGGGGAAUCAACACUUAGCAACCCCUCGGGGGAAUCAGCACUUAGCAACCCCCUUUCACAUUUAAAAUACGGUGGGAUCAGCACUUAGCAACCACCAAUAGGUAGGGGAAUCAGCACACAGCAACCCCUUUAUAUGCAAU